AGGUUUGAUCAUGGCUCAGGACGAACGCUGGCGGCGUGCCUAAUACAUGCAAGUCGAACGAGAAAUUCUUACACCGGAUGCUUGCAUCCACCGUAAGAUUUCGAGUGGCGGACGGGUGAGUAACACGUGGGUAACCUGCCCAAAAGAAGGGGAUAACAUUUGGAAACAAGUGCUAAUACCGUAUAACCAUGAUGACCGCAUGGUCAUGAUGUAAAAGGUGGUUUUGCUAUCGCUUUUGGAUGGACCCGCGGCGUAUUAACUAGUUGGUAAGGUAACGGCUUACCAAGGUGAUGAUACGUAGCCGAACUGAGAGGUUGAUCGGCCACAAUGGGACUGAGACACGGCCCAUACUCCUACGGGAGGCAGCAGUAGGGAAUCUUCCACAAUGGGCGCAAGCCUGAUGGAGCAACGCCGCCAGCGUUCGUC
rnacentral:rRNA from 1 species